AGUGAACGCUGGCGGUAGGCCUAACACAUGCAAGUCGAACGGCAGCACAGGAGAGCUUGCUCUCUGGGUGGCGAGUGGCGGACGGGUGAGGAAUACAUCGGAAUCUACUCUGUCGUGGGGGAUUACGUAGGGAAACUUACGCUAAUACCGCAUACGACCUACGGGUGAAAGCAGGGGACCUUCGGGCCUUGCGCGAUUGAAUGAGCCGAUGUCGGACUAGCUAGUUGGCGGGGUAAAGGCCCACCAAGGCGACGAUCCGUAGCUGGUCUGAGGGGAUGAUCAGCCACACUGGAACUGAGACACGGUCCAGACUCCUACGGGAGGCAGCAGUGGGGAAUAUUGGACAAUGGGCGCAAGCCUGAUCCAGCCAUACCGCGUGGGUGAAGAAGGCCUUCGGGUUGUAAAGCCCUUUUGUUGGGAAAGAAAUCCAGCUGGCUAAUACCCGGUUGGGAUGACGGUACCCAAAGAAUAAGCACCGGCUAACUUCGUGCCAGCCGCCGCCGUAA
rnacentral:rRNA from 1 species